UACGUGAGGGGCGAACGUUGUUCGGUUUCACUGGGCUUAAAGGGUGCGUAGGUGGUUGCGUAAGUAAGGUGUGAAAGCCCUCGGCUUACCCGGGGAAUUGCGCCUUAUACUGCGUGGCUUGAGGAUUUCAGGGGAAUGGGGAACUCCAGGUGUAGCGGUGAAAUGCGCAGAUAUCUGGGGGAAGGCCGGCGGCGAAGGCGCCAUUCUGGGAAAUUCCUGACACUGAGGCACGAAAGCGUGGGGAGCAAACAGG
rnacentral:rRNA from 1 species